GUGAGGAAUAUUGCGCAAUGGAGGCAACUCUGACGCAGCCAUGCCGCGUGCAGGAAGAAGGCGCUACGCGUUGUAAACUGCUUUUAACCGGGAAGAAACCCCAGGACGUGUCCUGGGUUGACGGUACCGGAGGAAUAAGCACCGGCUAACUUCGUGCCAGCAGCCGCGGUAAUACGAAGGGUGCAAGCGUUAUCCGGAUUCAUUGGGUUUAAAGGGUGCGUAGGCGGAGCGUUAAGUCAGUGGUGAAAUCCUGCAGCUUAACUGCAGACUUGCCAUUGAUACUGGAGCUCUUGAGUGCGCUUGAAGUGGGCGGAAUGUGCCGUGUAGCGGUGAAAUGCUUAGAUAUGGCACAGAACACCAAUUGCGAAGGCAGCUCACUAAGGCGAUACUGACGCUGAGGCACGAAAGCGUGGGGAUCGAACAGGAUUAGAAACCCGUGUAGUCC
rnacentral:rRNA from 1 species